rnacentral:rRNA from 1 species
UACGUAGGGUGCAAGCGUUGUCCGGAAUUAUUGGGCGUAAAGAGCUCGUAGGCGGUCUGUCGCGUCGGAUGUGAAAAUCCAGGGCUCAACCCUGGACCUGCAUUCGAUACGGGCAGACUAGAGUUCGGUAGGGGAGACUGGAAUUCCUGGUGUAGCGGUGAAAUGCGCAGAUAUCAGGAGGAACACCGGUGGCGAAGGCGGGUCUCUGGGCCGAAACUGACGCUGAGACACGAAAGCGUGGGUAGCAAACAGG